rnacentral:rRNA from 1 species
GUCUAUGGCCAUGCCACCCUGUACAAGCCCGAUCCCGUCUGAUUUUGGAAGCUAAGCCGGGUCGGGCCUGGUUAGUACUUGCAUGGGAGACCAGCUAGGAAGACCAGGUGCUGUAGGUG